rnacentral:rRNA from 1 species
GUGCCAGCAGCCGCGGUAAUACGAAGGGUGCAAGCGUUACUCGGAAUUACUGGGCGUAAAGCGUGCGUAGGUGGUUCGUUAAGUCUGAUGUGAAAGCCCUGGGCUCAACCUGGGAAUGGCAUUGGAUACUGGCGACCUAGAGUGCGGUAGAGGGUGGCGGAAUUCCCGGUGUAGCAGUGAAAUGCGUAGAUAUCGGGAGGAACAUCCGUGGCGAAGGCGGCCACCUGGACCAGCACUGACACUGAGGCACGAAAGCGUGGGGAGCAAACAGGAUUAGAAACCCUCGUAGUCC